GGCUUUUGUCAGCGCGAGGAUGAGAACCUCCGGGGGCAAGAGGUUCGACUCGAGCGAAGCGAGAGAACGUUGCGUCAGCAACGGCCCGCAGUGGCAAGUCAUCCUCUGUCACCGGCA
rnacentral:sRNA from 1 species